AGGACGAACGCUGGCGGCGUGCCUAACACAUGCAAGUCGAACGGGGCCCGCAAGGGUUCAGUGGCGAACGGGUGCGUAACACGUGAAGAAUUUGUCCAACGGCGGGGGAUAGCCGGCCCAACGGCCGGGUAAUACCGCGUACGACCUUCGGGGGGCAUCCCCUGAUGGUGAAAGCCGCAAGGCGCCGAUGGAGAACUUCGCGGCCUAUCAGCUAGUUGGCGAGGUCAUGGCUCACCAAGGCGACGACGGGUAGCUGGUCCGAGAGGAUGGACCAGCCACAUUGGGACUGAGACACGGCCCAGACUCCUACGGGAGCAGCAGUGGGAAUAUUGCGCAAGUGGGCAAAGCCUGACGCAGCGACGCCGCGUGUGGAUGGACGGCCUUACGGUUGUAAACCGACGUGUCGAGAGUAGGGACGAAGG
rnacentral:rRNA from 1 species